rnacentral:rRNA from 1 species
UACGUAGGGUGCAAGCGUUACUCGGAAUUACUGGGCGUAAAGCGUGCGCAGGCGGCUUUGCAAGACAGAUGUGAAAUCCCCGGGCUUAACCUGGGAACUGCAUUUGUGACUGCAUGGCUAGAGUGCGGCAGGGGGGGAUGGAAUUCCGCGUGUAGCAGUGAAAUGCGUAGAUAUGCGGAGGAACACCGAUGGCGAAGGCAAUCCCCUGGGCCUGCACUGACGCUCAUGCACGAAAGCGUGGGGAGCAAACAGG